rnacentral:rRNA from 1 species
UACGUAGGGUGCAAGCGUUGUCCGGAAUUAUUGGGCGUAAAGAGCUCGUAGGCGGUUCGUCGCGUCGGCUGUGAAAACCCGGAGCUCAACUCGGAGACGCCACUCGAUACUGCCAUGACUCGAGUUCGGUAGAGGAGUGUGGAAUUCCUGGUGGAGCGGUGAAAUGCGCAGAUAUCAGGAAGAACACCUAUGGCGAAGGCAGCUCUCUGGGACGGUACUGACGGCUGAGACGCGAAAGCGUGGGGAGCGAACAGG